GAAAUGCGAUAAGUAAUGUGAAUUGCAGAAUUCAGUGAAUCAUCGAAUCUUUGAACGCACCUUGCGCUCCUUGGUAUUCCUUGGAGCAUGCCUGUUUGAGUAUCAUGAAAUCUUCAAAGUAAAUCUUUUGUUAACUCAAUUGGUUUCUACUUUGGUAUUGGAGGUCUUUGCAGCUUCACACCUGCUCCUCUUUGUUCAUUAGCUGGAUCUCAGUGUUAUGCUUGGUUCCACUCGGCGAGAUAAGUUAUCUAUCGCUGAGGACACUGUAAAAGGUGGCCAAGGUAAAUGCAGAUGAACCGCUUCUAAUAGUCCAUUGACUUGGACAAUACUUUUAUGAUCUGAUCUCAAAUCAGGUAGGACUACCCGCUGAACUUAAGC
rnacentral:misc_RNA from 1 species